AUUUUAUCUUUAUUCAUAGGUUUGUAUAGAAAUUUGUACUGCGGAAUGGAACCGUGUGCAAAUCACGGGCUGACGCGCAACUGUAAAUGACGGUGUUCCCGUUCCAAGCCAGAUACUUGUCGCAGGCAGAUAUUUUUA
rnacentral:ncRNA from 1 species